rnacentral:lncRNA from 1 species
UAUGAUUCUUUAUUGCCUCUUGAUCAAAGUUCAAUGAGACAUGAGAUACUUUUUUGUGGUUGAGAGAAGAAAAUAGAGGAUUAUUUUGUUAUGCCAAACAAAAGCCAAAGAACAAAGUUUAUGGCUAAUUGGUAAAAUUCAACAAUAAAAAAAAGGUAAGUAGGCAAAGAGAAUGUAAGUGGGUUGAAGAUAUAUUAUUAAAUAACAAUAUGUAUUUUUUUUUAUUAGUUUAUUAUAUUAGAGUCAACCCAAAAUGGUUGGACUAAUAUUAAACAAAGGCAAGUUACAAUAUUUAGCCACAAAAAAAAAAAAAAAAAAAAGAAGGCAAGUGGGGUAAGUUAAAAUUUUUGGGGAGUAGAAUAGCUUAUAAAAUUUGGACCCCCUUUAGUUUUCUAUAGAUUUUGCAUUGGGCUACAACCCACUUAAGCUUGUGAAUAGUACCGUCCUUAGGCUGUAGUGAGCUUUUAAGUCCAACCGAAACCAAACUGCAAUUUAUGCAUGGCCCUAUAAUAUUUCUUACAUCAUGGCCUAGCCAUAUACAACCGUUUUUUCAACCCAAAAACCAAAAGUUUGGGUUUUAAUCCAACACAUUGAACCAUAAAAGAUGUGGGUGUAUGACCCAUUUCUCCGACCUAGGGGUGCAAUUUGGAUAUGAAAUUCCAAUUUCGAUAUAUUCUAAUAUAAAAUUUUCCAGCUUUGGCAUUCCCAAAUUAAAUAUGACAAUAAAAAAUUCAAAAAUUCAAAAAGAAAAAAAAAACAUUAAAAUUGGACUGUAUCUCAAAAUUUUGAAUUUCGAAAUACCCACAGUGACUAACUUCAUGUUGAGAUAAAUGUGAUUCAAUCAAUGAAAAGACAUCCUAUGAGUUUGAUUUCAUGCACAUAUUUCUAACACCUAAACCGAUCAUUUUGUCUCAACCCUAUAAAAGCAAUAGCUGCUUCCCCAAUCAACAUCCACCCAAAACCUUGGAAGGAAGGAAAUGCGACAAUUGCUAUGACGGUACCAAUCCUAACUCUAAGGAUAAGCCCCAAACUCACUUUGAAAGCUUCCUUGUUCCAUGAGGCAUCAUCAUUCAAUUUCAAAAAAGAGUGGCGAGGAGGCUCAGAUAUUUCUCAUAACUUUCACUUAAAAGGUGGGCAUAUAGGGGAUUUCCCAAUUUUUUUUUUUUUUUUAAAGGGAUUCACUCCACUUGGAAGGUAUGUGUUUUUGGAAAAUUAUUCCCCCUCGUCAGAACAAAAAAGAUGGAAAGAUGAAAAAAUAUGUACCAAGAUGAUAAUGAGUGAAACAAGAGAGCACACCAAGAAUUUAACGGGGUUCAGCAAAAAAACAAGCUUACGUCCACGAAGAAAAUAAACAAGCUUAUGGGAGAAAUACAAGUACAAGAAAAUAAACCGCUCAAGAGUUUUGUACCUAAUUCCAAGCACAUAUCACUCCCACCCAAGAGAAAUCCCCUGUCUUAAUUCUCCAAGAAGUAUACACUCUUGAUGCAUACAUAACUCCCUAGUGAAUGAAUAUUCACACUCAAACUCAAACUCAAACUUGAGUUGAUGCCUUAAUGCCUUACUUGAUUCCCAAAUAAGAAUAGACCUCCCUUUAUAUAGCCAUAAAAGAAGGCUCUAAAUGCGUUGUACCAUUUAAUGAACCAUGUGACCAUAUGCAUUAAAAACUUGUUGAGAAGCCCAAAGGCGCUAAGCAGGGAUAUUGCACCCAACAGUCUCCCCCUUUUGACUUAGGUGGAGGGUAUCACACCACCACUUCAAUACCUAAAAUCCAUCUCAAUCCGAUAUACUAUUUGUAAAUUUCACAAACAAACAUUGGCCUUGACCUUGUACCAUCUACACAUAAUUAGAAUCAGAAUGAGGUCCUAGCUCCCACUGAUUCAUAACAACUAAUGCUUAUGUGCAGUUGUGCAGAGCAACACUUAUUGAUUAGCUUUGAAGACGAAUCUUGACUCGACCCCUUCCCUAGCUGAAUUUUCCUUCUUGCCAUCAUCUGAACCUAAGAAACAUAUAACAUGUGUCUCUGCUAUCCCCGCAAAUGAGACUCGCCUUAAGUAUUUAAUUUCAUGUGCACGCCAUUUCCCAUAAGCCAUUGAGGUUUAAGUACUUCCUAUCAGACAAUAUAAACCACAACACUCUUCUCCAUUCAUCAUGACAAUACAACCAUGUGUGACUUUCAGAACUCCCCCACUACAAAACACUUGCAGCCAUUGGAUUCUAAUUGGCUCAAGGAUAUCAGAUUCCUUCGCAACUUUGGAAAAAAGUCCAUAACAAAGUGCACACCGCUCCAUCAAACAUCUUGAUUUUCACUAUUCCAAAC